AACGAACGUUAGCGGCGCGCCUAACACAUGCAAGUCGCACGAGAAAGGGCUUCGGCCCCAGUAAAGUGGCGCACGGGUGAGUAACACGUGGGUAACCAACCCUAGAGCGGGGGACAACGUUCCGAAAGGAGCGCUAAUACCGCGUAAGACCACGACCCUAUAAAGGGGUUGAGGUAAAAGCAGGCCUCUUCUUGAAAGCUUGCACUCUGGGACGGGCCCGCGCCCCAUCAGCUAGUUGGUAGGGUAAUGGCCUACCCAAGGCUUUAGACGGGUAACCGUAGGUCGUGAGAGGAUGAUCAGUCACACUGGAACUGAGACACGGUCCAGACUCCUACGGGAGGCAGCAGUGGGGAAUCUUGCGCAAUGGGCGAAAGCCUGACGCAGCGACGCCGCGUGAGUGAUGAAGGCC
rnacentral:rRNA from 1 species